GUUUCACGAGACAACGGCCACCAUUUUGUUAAGUUCACGCGUCAGAUGGAUACAAAGCGCAAGGCUGCAUCCCAAUUGUAAUACACUAAAAAAAGAUGUUAUACAGCUGAUGGGGAAAUCCUGUACUUUUGAGUGUAUUAAAAGUACAAAGUUGAAAGUAUGAAAAUCGGAUUCAAGAUCUUUUUUUUUUGGCCUACAAUGGAGCCAAAGAAAUGGAACCAACAGUUAUUUACAAGCAAUAUAGCAGCCAUAGACCCCAGCUGGACCACACCAAUCAUCUAAUUCUG